rnacentral:rRNA from 1 species
ACAAUGCGGGACUAUCAGUCUUGCAAUUGGAUUGAGAACAAUGUACAACUCUUAUCGAUAAGCCAUUGGAGGGCAAGUCUGGUGCCAGCAGCCGCGGUAAUUCCAGCUCCAAUAGCGUAUAUUAACGUUGUUGCAGUUAAAAAGCUCGUAGUUGAAGUGUGGGUGAUCGCUGUUGUGAGACUUCGGUCUCUCGACAGUAAGUCACCCCCUUCCAGUAUCCAGUAGUGGGUAUUCACUUACUUACUAUUGUGUGUUGGUCCUUUACUGUGAGAAAAUUAGAGUGUUCAAAGCAGGCGUUUGCUUGAAUAGAUUAGCAUGGAAUAAUAAUUGAAGGCUUUCGUGUUCGAUUUGAUUGGUUUGUUCAUGGAAGCAAGGUUAAAAGGAACAGUUGGGGGUAUUCAUAUUCACUAGUUAGAGGUGAAAUUCUCGGAUUUAUGGAAGAUGAAC